rnacentral:rRNA from 1 species
UACGUGAGGGGCGAACGUUGUUCGGUGUCACUGGGCUUAAAGGGCGCGUAGGUGGUCGCAUAAGUAAGGUGUGAAAUCCCUCGGCUUACCCGGGGAACUGCGCCUUAUACUGUGUGGCUUGAGGGCCAUAGGGGAACGCGGAAUUCCAGGUGUAGCGGUGAAAUGCGUAGAUAUCUGGAGGAACACCGGUGGCGAAGGCGGCAUUCUGGACCGACAUUGACGCUGAGGAGCGAAAGCCAGGGGAGCAAACGGG